rnacentral:misc_RNA from 1 species
UGUAGGAGUGAGCCUGCUCGCGAUGGCGUCAGUCCAGUCACAUUCAUGUUGCCUGACACACCGCUAUCGCGAGCAGGCUCACUCCUACA